AUGAAACCGGUCGGUCGCCUCGGGGCUGCCCCUCUCGAGCGCGUAUCGGAGUUGAUCGAUGAUUACACCGGUAGUUGGAAUGUUGAUCUCGUUCGCCAAAAAAAUUUCCUGCCGGAUGUCGAGGCCAUUCUGAACAUACCUUUGAAUAGAGUGGGAGGGGAAGACACUUUGGCGUGGGCACUGGAAAAGUCAGGCAACUACAUUGUCAAAUCAGCGUAUCGCUCUCUAAUGACUCGCAACGAGCUUAGCUCUCUAGAGGAAGGGACGACUACGGAUACUUCAUCAGCAAAUAAACAGUUGUGGUCUGCACUUUGGAAAAUACAUGUGGUGCCGAAAGUAAGAGUUUUCUGGUGGCGAGUGCUUCACGGUAUCUUACCGGACUCCUCAACCUUGAAGCAUCGACAUAUUAAGCCACUCUGA
rnacentral:rRNA from 1 species